UGGCGGCGGCGCAUCAGCACCUUCAGCCGCACGCCCCUGAGGCGGCGGCGCCACGGCAGUGCUUGCGGCCGCACGUCUCAAUGGCGGCGGCGCAUCAGCACCUUCAGCCGCACGCCCCUGAGGCGGCGGCGCCACGGCAGGGCUUGCGGCCGCACGUCUCAAUGGCGGCGGCGCAUCAGCACCUUCAGCCGCACGCCCCUGAGGCGGCGGCACCACGGCAGGGCUUGCGGCCGCACGUCUCAAUGGCGGCGGCGCAUCAGCACCUUCAGCCGCACGCCCCUGUGGCGGCGGCGGCGCCACGGUAGUGCCUGCAGCUGCACGCGUCGGCGGCGG
rnacentral:lncRNA from 1 species